UAAGUCUCGCAGUACAGCGGCAAGUGAGCGGCAAAGCUCUUAUUUUUAAUCUAGUACCUUCGGUGUGGAGUUGUAAUUUGAAGAUGGUGACCUUGGGUUUGGCUCUUGUCUAUGUUCCUUGGAACAGGACGUCAUAGAGGGUGAGAAUCCCGUCUGAUGAAAUGCCCAUUCCUAUGUAAGGUGCUAUCUAACAAUCAAGUUGUUUGGUAAUAAAUAA
rnacentral:rRNA from 1 species